CAUCAUUCUUUGACCAUCAUUCCUCACAAUUCUUAAUAGCCACUGAAAUUUCUUCAUUAAAAUCUAACUCUCCCGAGACUAUAAUUGUUUACACAUCGAUUUGAUUUUUAAUUUUAUGUCUUUUUGGUUGUUGGUGUCUACUUGAUUUAUUAGUUUUCACGAGACAAUUUGUGUCUGCUCGAUUUCUACUCCGGCAACCUUCUCUGAGAAACUGUCAAAGUUUGAUAAGGAAUAGGAAAGGCAGAGGAAAUUGCAACAACAAUUCAGCGUUGUUGAUGUUGUUCGCGAGGAAGCUUUGCGCAUCUACAGAUUUGCAGAAAUGAAACCAAAAAUUCUUACAUCUAUGUUUAGUAAAUGACUUUCAGUGUGUAUAUAUAUUUAGAGAGAGAGAGAGAGAGGCUUCAACAUCGGUGUCUUUUGUUUGAUUUUUGUAUCAGAUGGUCUUCAUUGCAGCUUUAAUUGGUCCUUCAAAAUCUCCACUCAGUGAUGUGUGCCUUCUUAGAUGCCUCUCCAACUCCUCUAUUUCCAACAAAUUUCUCGCUUUCUUUCUCAUAAUGGCAACGAAGCUUUGGGUUGAACGGAGACCACUUUAGACAAGUAGUCAAGAAGAGAUUGGGGGGCCUGGAAUGUAAAGAAUGGGGGGGGGGUGAGUUGAUGAGUGUGUAUGUGCUUCUGCUUGAUGGUAAGGUGUAGAAUCUCAACUGAUGAAGGCUUAGAUCGAGAUGUUUAAUCUCACUCUAAAGAUACAACUGGCGUUUCGGUGAGUUAUCAGUUAUCACACAAUUAUGGAAUGAUCACAUACAUCUAUGGAUUUCCCAGAAUAGAGCUCGCUUGAGAGUAGGAGCGAUGACUAUGAAAUAUUGGUUUCCCGAGAGAGAGUUAUGCGCACUCCAAGCCGCACCGCAAUUAGUGAAAUCAUUCAACCAGGAAGCCCCGACGUCGCAAUCUUCUAAAAUGGUGAAAUCUUCAGUUUCUUCAGUUUGAGUUGAAGGCUGGUCGGUGUAAGGAGACUAUUGUACCCGUCUCUUCAGUUUCUAGAAAGCUAGGAAUGUGGAAAAGGUGUUGCAGACACAGAUUGUCAGUCUUCACUUGCAUUACACUACGCAUUGUCAGUAAGCAUCUAUGAUUUUAUUUCUUACUCACAUCAGACGUUUGAGAACAGCAUAGAGAGGAGUGUUUCUAAA